GGAGGUGUGGCCGAGCGGUCGAAGGCGACGGUCUUGAAAACCGUUGUACCGCAAGGUACCGGGGGUUCGAAUCCCUCCACCUCCGCCA
rnacentral:tRNA from 1 species